rnacentral:rRNA from 1 species
AUUGAACGCUGGCGGCAGGCCUAACACAUGCAAGUCGAGCGGAUGAAGGGAGCUUGCUCCUGGAUUCAGCGGCGGACGGGUGAGUAAUGCCUAGGAAUCUGCCUGGUAGUGGGGGAUAACGUCCGGAAACGGGCGCUAAUACCGCAUACGUCCUGAGGGAGAAAGUGGGGGAUCUUCGGACCUCACGCUAUCAGAUGAGCCUAGGUCGGAUUAGCUAGUUGGUUGGGUAAAGGCCUACCAAGGCGACGAUCCGUAACUGGUCUGAGAGGAUGAUCAGUCACACUGGAACUGAGACACGGUCCAGACUCCUACGGGAGGCAGCAGUGGGGAAUAUUGGACAAUGGGCGAAAGCCUGAUCGAGCAAUGCCGCGUGUGUGAAGAAGGUCUUCGGAUUGUAAAGCACUUUAAGUUGGGAGGAAGGGAAGUAAGUUAAUACCUUGCUGUUUUGACGUUACCAACAGAGUAAGCACCGGCUAACUUCGUG